AAGUCGUAACAAGGUUUCCGUAGGUGAACCUGCGGAAGGAUCAUCAGUGAAUUUUCUUGAUGCUACUCCACCCCUGUGCACUGUUGAGCGCGCGCGGUCGGGUGUCGCGCCCGUCCGCGCGUGUUUUAUCCCAUAAUAAACUCGGCUCUGAAGCGAAUCUGCGUAAAACCUAAAAACAACACACAACUUUUAACAACGGAUCUCUUGGUUCUC
rnacentral:misc_RNA from 1 species